rnacentral:rRNA from 1 species
UACAGAGGUCUCAAGCGUUGUUCGGAAUUACUGGGCGUAAAGGGUGCGCAGGCUGCGCGGCAAGUCAAAUGUGAAAUUCAGGGGCUCAACCCCUGCAUUGCGCUUGAUACUUCCGCGCUCGAGCCUUGGAAAGGAGUCUGGAAUUCUCGGUGUAGCAGUGAAAUGCGUAGAUAUCGAGAGGAACACCUGCGGCGAAGGCGGGUUGCUGGGCUGACACUGACGCUGAGGCGCGAAAGCUAGGGGAGCGAACGGG